rnacentral:tRNA from 1 species
UGUUCUGUGGCUUAGUUAGUUAAAGCGCCGGACUAAGGAUACGGAGUCGUGGGUUCGAAUCCAACUAAAACAA